rnacentral:rRNA from 1 species
UGAGGAAUAUUGGGCAAUGGACGCAAGUCUGACCCAGCAACGCCGCGUGAAGGAUGAAGGCCUUCGGGUUGUAUACUUCUUUUGUGGGGGACAAGAGCGGAUGGUACCCCAAGAAUAAGUCGCGGCUAACUACGUGCCAGCAGCCGCGGUAAUACGUAGGUGACGAGCGUUAUCCGGAAUUACUGGGCGUAAAGCGCACGCAAGCGGUUGGCCAAGUCUGACGUGAAAUCUCCUAGCUUAACUGGGAGCGGUCGUUGGAAACUGGCGAGCUUGAGGCGAUGAGAGGGAUGCAGAAUUCCUGGUGUAGUGGUGGAAUGCGUAGAGAUCAGGAGGAAUACCUGUGGCGAAAGCGGCAUCCUGGCGUCGUACUGACGCUCAUGUGCGAAAGCGUGGGGAGUGAACGGGAUUAGAUACCCCGGUAAUCCACGCUGUAAACGAUGAACACUAGGUGUAGGGGGUGUCAAAACCUUCUGUGCCAAAGCCAACGCGUUAAGUGUUCCGCCUGGGAAGUACGGCCGCAAGGCUAA